AUGUCGUAGUGAGAGUGACAUUGGUGUGCGCUGGUUCUUAGCUCCGUGAAUUUACGUGAUUACGAAAGUAAAUCCAAAAUAUUUUGGGUUAUUGAAACUUAACAAAAUUGCCUCUCAUAGCAGUUUCCUUGAGCAGCGGGUCUUCUUCGUCGAUCCUACGCUGGAAGUGGAUUACUUAUGCUCAUCGAGUUGUGCGCCAUCGCGAAUACGGCCUUGUCAAUCGAACAAAAUCCGAAGGCUGAACGGAGUUACCCUUGGUCAAGCACAACCUUGGUACCUAUGGGUCAGAAGAAGCACCCGACGACCUGGAGGCGGAGGCCCGUGGGGAUGCCGACGAGUCAUCCGGCCAGGUGGAGGACUCUGAGACUGUUCAUGAUAGACGAGUUAUCGGCUCGGGUAUUUGUAUCCGUCACUCACUCACAGAUACUUCCGGGGCCAUCGGUAGCGGUC